AGGGCACAUGCGUUAUCUACAGAAGAAGCACUGGCUAACUCUGUGCCAGCAGCCGCGGUAAUACAGAGAGUGCAAGCGUUAAUCGGAAUCACUGGGCGUAAAGCGCGCGUAGGUGGAUGUUUAAGUCGGAUGUGAAAGCCCUAGGCUUAACCUAGGAACUGCAUUCGAUACUGAAUAUCUCGAGUAUGGUAGAGGGAAGUGGAAUUUCCGGUGUAGCGGUGAAAUGCGUAGAUAUCGGAAAGAACACCAGUGGCGAAGGCGGCUUCCUGGACCAAUACUGACACUGAGGUGCGAAAGCGUGGGGAGCAAACAGGAUUAGAGACCCUGGUAGUCCACGCCGUCAACGAUGAGAACUAGCUGUUGGGAAGUUUACUUUCUAGUAGCGAAGCUAACGCGUUAAGUUCUCCGCCUGGGGAGUACGGCCGCAAGGUUAAAACUCAAAGAAAUUGACGGGGGCCCGCACAAGCGGUGGAGCAUGUGGUUUAAUUCGAUGCAA
rnacentral:rRNA from 1 species